AUUGAACGCUGGCGGCAUGCCUUACACAUGCAAGUCGAACGGCAGCGCGGGAGCAAUCCUGGCGGCGAGUGGCGAACGGGUGAGUAAUGCAUCGGAACGUGCCUAGUAGUGGGGGGUAACUGCUCGAAAGAGCAGCUAAUACCGCAUACGACCUGAGGGUGAAAGGGGGGGAUCGCAAGACCUCUCGCUAUUAGAGCGGCCGAUGUCGGAUUAGCUAGUUGGUGGGGUAAAGGCCCACCGAGGCAACGAUCCGUAGCUGGUCUGAGAGGACGACCAGCCACACUGGGACUGAGACACGGCCCAGACUCCGACGGGAGGCAGCAGUGGGGAAUUUUGAACAAUGGACGCAAGUCUGAUCCAGCCAUGCCGCGUGCGGGAAGAAGGCCUUCGGGUUGUAAACCGCUUUUGUCAGGGAAGAAAUCUUCUGGGCUAAUACCCUGGGAGGAUGACGGUACCUGAAGAAUAAGCACCGGCUAACUACGUGCCAGCCGCCGCGGUAAAAC
rnacentral:rRNA from 1 species